AUCCUGGCGUCAGGGAUGAACGGCUGGCGGCGUGCUUAACACAUGCAAGUCGAACGGGACGUCAUAUUGAAACCUAGUGAUUAUUGAGUUAGUGGCGGACGGGUGAGUAACGACGUGGAAAACCUAGCCGUAUACUGGGGAGUAACACUUAGAAAUAGGUGCUAAUACCGCAUAAGCGCACAGCUUCGCAUGAAGUGGUGUGAAAACUACUGGUGGUAUACGAUGGUUCCGCGUCUGAUUAGCUUGUUGGUGGGGUAAGUGGCUCACCAAGGCGACGAUCAGUAGCCGGCCUGAGAGGGUGAACGGCCACAUUGGGACUGAGACACGGCCCAAACUCCUACGGGAGGCAGCAGUGGGGAAGUAUUGCACAAUGGGGGAAACCCGUGAUGCAGCGACGCCGCGUGAGUGAAGAAGUAUUUCGGUAUGUAAGCUCUAUCAGCAGGGAAGAAAUAGCGACCUUUGGGUCGCCAGACGGUACCUGAUUAAGAAGCCCCGGCUAACUACGUG
rnacentral:rRNA from 1 species